ACUUUUAAAAAUGCUGAAUUUUUUUGUCAAACUUUGUUUGACCUUGUUGAACUUGGGAUAAAUCACUUGGACCUUUCAAGGUUGAUUUGAAGUGAUUUUGAAGUUUGACCUUUCUUUUAUUUUUAAUUCAAGUUUAUUUUAACAUUAAAAAUGCCAAAAACAUUUUGCUUGUUAUUUGACCUCCAAUCUUCAUCUCACUUCUGAUUUCUCAUUGUUUGACUUUGACUUUCAAUGUCAUUUGGUCAACACACAUGGAUUGGUACAUUUUAUUCACCUUAUGCAUUUU
rnacentral:lncRNA from 1 species